rnacentral:rRNA from 1 species
UACAGAGGUCUCAAGCGUUGUUCGGAUUCAUUGGGCGUAAAGGGUGCGUAGGUGGCGCCGUAAGUCAGGUGUGAAAUUUCGGAGCUUAACUCCGAAACUGCAUUUGAUACUGCGGUGCUUGAGGACUGGAGAGGAGACUGGAAUUCACGGUGUAGCAGUGAAAUGCGUAGAUAUCGUGAGGAAGACCAGUGGCGAAGGCGGGUCUCUGGACAGUUCCUGACACUGAGGCACGAAGGCUAGGGGAGCAAAACGGG